GCUUGAGUAGCAAAGCGGUUAAUGCUUGAGAUUUAGGUUCUCACAUCAAAGGUUCAAGCCCUUUCUCUAGUU
rnacentral:ncRNA from 11 species